rnacentral:lncRNA from 1 species
AGGGGGGGUGAAUAGGAGAUUUUUAGAAUUUCAUCACUGAGGAAAUUCCUUUUGAGGAAAUUCCUCACUGAUGACUAACUUACAGCGGAAACAGUAAAGGAUCAGAAGUGUAAAGUUUCACAACAGCAGUUUUUCAGUGUGAGGAAUGUGAAAACAGAUUGCACAGUGAGCAGGCACGCAGAAAAUAGAUGAGGAUUAACUAGCGUGAAGAAUUUGGGGUUGAGGAAUUUCAGAGAAAGUGUUCGGCAAAUUCUUCA